rnacentral:misc_RNA from 1 species
UUUCUCCUCAGAACCAGUAGCAUCCGUGAAAGUGAAUUUCUCAAAAACCUUCCUGAAUUCCUCAUCGAACUCACCAUCUAAUUCGGCCUUCUCUGGUACAUAUUCUACUUCAACUUGAACCAAAGACUUCUGAGGAUCGGAAUUUUCCUUGGAACUAUCCUCAGCGCCGCCGUUCGCGUCUUGCGCAGCGUUAUCACUGUCUUCUCCAUUUGCAACCUUAGACGCCGCCUUGUUCUUCUUCUGCUUCCUCCGCCUACGGCGUCGGUCGCUUUCCUUCGACUUCUUAGAGGCGGCGUUAGGGUUUUGAGGUCUCAAAUCGCCUUUUGGAUUACCAAUGGCUUCUGUCACUACGUUUGCUACUUCAACCGGCAUACUACUCCGGCCGUUUGAGAUUAAUGUAGAUAUUCAGUUGAG